AUAUAUAUAUAUAUAUGUGUGCCUUACUAUGUAUAUAUAUAUAUAUGUAAUCUAUAUAUAAUUGUAAUGUAAGUAGCUUUAAGGUAUGUAUGGUAAAUUAAUUGUUGCUCAACUCCGUUCGAUUCGAUUCCACAAGUAUUUCUUAAAUGUUAUUGUUUAAAUGAAUUUGCUUCUUUAGGAUUUCCUUCAUUUUGUUUUUUAGUUUUAGUUUUAAUUUAUUUUUUUAAAUUUGUGACUAAAUGAAAUAUUUGAACCGUACGGCCGCAACACUCCAAGCAGAGUG